rnacentral:rRNA from 1 species
GGCGGACGGGUGAGUAAUGCUUAGGAAUCUGCCUAUUAGUGGGGGACAACAUUCCGAAAGGAAUGCUAAUACCGCAUACGUCCUACGGGGGAAAGCAGGGGAUCUUCGGACCUUGCGCUAAUAGAUGAGCCUAAGUCGGAUUAGCUAGUUGGUGGGGUAAAGGCCUACCAAGGCGACGAUCUGUAGCGGGUCUGAGAGGAUGAUCCGCCACACUGGGACUGAGACACGGCCCAGACUCCUACGGGAGGCAGCAGUGGGGAAUAUUGGACAAUGGGGGGAACCCUGAUCCAGCCAUGCCGCGUGUGUGAAGAAGGCCUUUUGGUUGUAAAGCACUUUAAGCGAGGAGGAGGCUCCUUUAGUUAAUACCUAAAGAGAGUGGACGUUACUCGCAGAAUAAGCACCGGCUAACUCUGUGCCAGCAGCCGCGGUAAUACAGAGGGUGCGAGCGUUAAUCGGAUUUACUGGGCGUAAAGCGUGCGUAGGCGGCUUUUUAAGUCGGAUGUGAAAUCCCUGAGCUUAACUUAGGAAUUGCAUUCGAUACUGGAAAGCUAGAGUAUGGGAGAGGAUGGUAGAAUUCCAGGUGUAGCGGUGAAAUGCGUAGAGAUCUGGAGGAAUACCGAUGGCGAAGGCAGCCAUCUGGCCUAAUACUGACGCUGAGGUACGAAAGCAUGGGGAGCAAACAGGAUUAGAUACCCUGGUAGUCCAUGCCGUAAAC